rnacentral:rRNA from 1 species
UGCAGUCGAACGGUAACAUUUCUAGCUUGCUAGAAGAUGACGAGUGGCGGACGGGUGAGUAAUGCUUGGGAACUUGCCUUUGCGAGGGGGAUAACAGUUGGAAACGACUGCUAAUACCGCAUAAUGUCUUCGGACCAAACGGGGCUUCGGCUCCGGCGCAAAGAGAGGCCCAAGUGAGAUUAGCUAGUUGGUAAGGUAACGGCUUACCAAGGCGACGAUCUCUAGCUGUUCUGAGAGGAAGAUCAGCCACACUGGGACUGAGACACGGCCCAGACUCCUACGGGAGGCAGCAGUGGGGAAUAUUGCACAAUGGGGGAAACCCUGAUGCAGCCAUGCCGCGUGUGUGAAGAAGGCCUUCGGGUUGUAAAGCACUUUCAGUUGUGAGGAAAAGUUAGUAGUUAAUACCUGCUAGCCGUGRCGUUAACAACAGAAGAAGCACCGGCUAACUCCGUGCCAGCAGCCGCGGUAAUACGGAGGGUGCGAGCGUUAAUCGGAAUUACUGGGCGUAAAGCGCACGCAGGCGGUUUGUUAAGCUAGAUGUGAAAGCCCCGGGCUCAACCUGGGAUGGUCAUUUAGAACUGGCAGACUAGAGUCUUGGAGAGGGGAGUGGAAUUCCAGGUGUAGCGGUGAAAUGCGUAGAUAUCUGGAGGAACAUCAGYGGCGAANGCGACUCCCUGGCCAAAGACUGACRCUCAUGUGCGAAAGUGUGGGUAGCGAACAGGAUUAGAUACCCUGGUAGUCCACACCGUAAACGCUGUCUACUAGCUGUGUGUGUCUUUAAGACGUGCGUAGCGAANCUAACGCGCUAAGUANACCGCCUGGGGAGUACGGCCGCANGGUUAAAACUCAANGAAUUGACGGGGCCC